GGGGCCGUGGCUCAGAGGCAGAGCCUCCGCCUGGCAUACAGAAGGCCCUGGGUUCAAUCUCCUCUGCUGUGGACCCU
rnacentral:tRNA from 1 species